GGGACCCUCGUACGCGGAAGGUCAUGAGGGCGGGACCCUCGUACGCGGAAGUUCAUGCGGGCGGGACCCUCGUACGUGGAAGGUCAUGAGGGCGGGACCCUCGUACGUGGAAGGUCAUGAGGGCGGAACCCUGGUACAUGAAAUUCGUUCUCUUAUUUAAGAGACAAAGAACGCCCUUGUUUUUUCCACCACGUGAUGGCGCAGACAGAAGACAACCAGCAUCUAUGAACCAGGAAGCCCCCACCAGGCACUGAAUCUGCCCCUGCGUGGAUCUUAGACUUGCAGACUCCAGAACUAUCCCUGUGGUUGUCAGGGAGCGGACUCUCAGGCUGCAGAGCCAUCUCUGUGUCACAGGCCAUGUGGAUGAUCCCAUGGGGUGCAGAGAUUUGCGUCUCCCUCACUCAUGACACACUGGUCCCUGCAACAUGUCGCACCUCAACUUCUGGACACCCUGAAGCCCUUCACGACGUGUGUUCUGCACAAGGAAACUGCUGAUGAAAGUAAAAAUUCCACAUCCAAACGGCCACUCAAACCAAGCGUAGGCACGCGGUACCUUACAAGAGCUGUGAGAUAUCCUUCUCUCUGCUUUAAGUGUCUCUGAAUCCAAAGAGAACAUUUAAGGAGACUACAGACUGAUUCCCUGUGUCCUUCAAGUUACCUUCAUUCUGUUGUAAAACCUAUGGCCUCUUUAUCCACUGACAGAAACCCUAAGGACAACCCAGGUAUUUCUAGAAAGUCUGUGGUUCCUAAGUGAGGAUGAAAGGAAGAGGUUGUGAAAGGUGAGGGCCAGCCUGCGGCUGUUGUUCAGAGACCCUACUCAAGGCCACCACGUUCUGGAGCGCCCUCCCCAUUCAAAAACAGCCCAUGCACACGACUAUGCACUAGCUUGUCUCAGUGCCUGGAAUUUUCCCCAGAUAAAGAGAUGCUUUGCAAUUGCAAAUGCUUUCCUGAGGGAGUGGCAGCCAGGCAGAGGGGGAACGGCAGCCUUUGUGUCUGAAAAGCAAAGUUUUAACUGGAACUUCACUUCCAAUUACCUGAUGAUGAAAAAUAAACACAAUGAAAUACUUAAGUAUAAAUCAAACCAAACAUGUAAAAGGUCUGAGUGCUGAAAAUUAUAAAACACUGAUGAAGUCUAAGAUCUAAAUAAAUACGAAACAUGCAGGGUCCAUAAACUGGAAGACUCAACAUAUUAAAGACGUGAAUUUUCCCUAAAUUUAUCUACAGGUUUAAUGCAAUGCCUAUCGAAACUCCAGCAAGAACUUUUUUGUAGAGAUAGAUAAGCUUAUUCUGGACUUUGCAUAGAAAGGCAAAAGGCCUAGAACAAUUAAAACUAAAGCAAUUUUGAAAAUUUUCACCUGCACUAGGUGAAGAAUUCUUAGAUGUGACAGUAACAGCAUGAUCCAUACAUUAAAAAUUUGCUAAAUUGAACUUCUUCAAAAUUAAAAUAUGUUUGUUCUCCAAACAACCAUAAAAAGGAUGAAAAAACAAGUAACAGCUUGGAGAAAAUACUUGUGAACAACAAAUUUGUCAACGAAUUUGUAAGUAGAAUAUAUAAAGAACUUAAAGAACUCUCAAAACUCUGAAGUAUAAAACAACAACAGUAACAGCACACCACCCAAUUAGAAACUUGGCAAUAGGUACAAACAACCAUUUCGCUACAGAGGGUGUGAAAAGAUGCCCAAUAUCUUUAGCCAUGAAGGAAAUAUAAAUUAGAAUCACUCUGAAAUACUAGGACACAUCUGCCAGCAAGGUGAAAAUACCCACUGCUGGUGAAGCUGCAGGGCCACUAGCUCACUCCUACACUGCUUUUGGAAAUGGAAAGUGACAAAGCCAUUCCGGAAAACAGUUUGUCAGAUUUUUAAAUAAAAAAUGCUUGUUAUACAACCCA
ensembl:lncRNA novel transcript